CGCCUAAAUUCCAAAGGAAAUUACCGGAAGGUAGAGAAGAACGUUGCGAUCUCACCUAGGAGUCCAACGCGGAUUGAGAAAGGCCAGGGAGGUGCGGCCGCGCGCGGAGGCGGAGAAGACUCUCGACGAGAUCCAAUUCUCACGGAAAACGAAGCUAGGGCACGGAUUAGUUGGCUUAGAUGCGAAAGGAGUGUCACGGGGGUUGAUUUGGGAGUUUUAUAGGGCUCGGAUACGUGCGGAAGGGAGAAAUCCCGAGGAAACUAGAAUUUGCCAUGACCGGAGUUGAGUCCGGCUCUGCUGCGCGCGCUGGCAAGAAGGAAAGGGGGAGAUGGAGGAGAAAGGUCGCUGACAGAUGGGGCCAGUGCGUCAGCGGCAGGGAAGAGCGGGGCCCGUCGGUUAGUGAAAUGAAAAGGGAGAGAGGGGAGGGGGCGCGCUGCUGGGCCGGAUAAAGAAAUGGGCCGAGGGGGCGAAGAGGGGCGCUGGGCUGCGUAGGGGGGAAGGAAGGCUGGGCCCUCGGGCCAGAAUAGAGAGAGGGGAAAGUUGUUUUCCUUUUUCUUUUGUUUGUUUUUUCUUUUAUUUCCAAACCAUUUUCAAAUCAGUUUGAAACAAUUUUGAACUUUGGUCAAAUCACUCAUCACAAUAAAAAUGAAUUUUCCAGCAUGAAUGCACAACCAUAUUUCUAAUCCUAUGAUAAAUAUUUAUUUUAAUGAAAAAUAUUAUUUUCCUAUGUUUCAUGAGCACCAAAAUACAAAAUUAAAUCAUUUUUCACCUAUUUCAAAAGUUGUAA
rnacentral:lncRNA from 1 species